CGCAGGGCCGCGCCCUCCUUAAACUGCGAGGCGGUGGAGCCACACGCUGGGAGCGCUGGUCCCCAGGGCGACAGCUACUACGCCACCGCUCUGUCCUGUCCCCAGGCCCGGCAUCAUCGAGUGGGACUUUCUGCGACGCCCCCAGCCACGCACACGAGCGCGCCCGGGGGCGGGGCCUUCAUCUGCCCCGCCUUGAGGCCCCGCCCCGUCGAGCCGGCUUUGGCCUCCAGCGAAAGCUUCUGCUGCGGUCCCGGGUCAGCGCCGGGACCUGAGCACCUCCCUACUUCUCUGCUUGCUUCCCGCGGUCUCCCAAGAGGGUAUCUCGCUACUGUCCUCACCCGCUGCGACCCUCUCUUCAAACAUCCAGCCAAUUUCUAGCCAACUUCAGAUUGGUGCCCCGACUCCCUGGCAUGGCUGAGCCACCAACUGGACUUAUGGCAGAGAAGGACUAAAUUCACCAGAAGCAACUUCAAGAAUAUCAGAAAAGGUUUCUGGAACUUCAGAGGGUAUACUGACAUCAGCCUCUGUGCCUAAUUUUCAAAGGAAGUUUCUUGCAAAUAUGGAGAAAAAUUCCUCUAAGUCAACUGUCUUAGACUGUAUGUUGGAAAACUUUAAAGAAGGUUUCUAAGAGGGGUACAGGGUCACGCUGGCCUCAGGAAGCCUUCGUAUUCUUUGUGAGCUCGAAUGGCCCGCUUUAGGCGUAGGUUAGCCCCUGGAAAGGACCCUAGACCUCCCCACAGUGAGAGCAGUAUAUUGAGUAGUGACAGGGACCCCAGGAUAUCUAGACCAAGUUCCAUACAUAGAGACGUCGUUGCAGACAGCUGCUGGUGCUCCCUUGGGUUCGGUUCAAUGCAAAUAGGCAGGGACAGAAUAAGGAAUUUGUGGCCCGAUUGGUUAGGCAUAAGGACAAGGUGUCAGCAAAAUUAAUCCAACAAGGGGACCUCAAAGAGGAAACUAACUUCCAACAGUCGUACACCUCAGUAGCUCUGUCAACCCCCACGAGGCCACUUUACUAUCAAUUGCCGGACAGGCUUCCACCAUCAUCACCUUUGCCACCCCUUAUCGUCCCAGAGCCCCAGACUGACACUAUGCCCUCCAUCUCGUUUAAGUUCGACUCCUCAAAUCACUCCGCCUGGUAUAUGGGCAAGUGUCUUGCGAGGAGGUGCAGGCCUGGCUCCAGGGCCAGCUCCACAGCAUGUUCCUAGUCCAUGAUUCCUCUGCCUUCUCUAGGGACUAUGUGCUGUCCAUAUCUGAAAAUACAUGAGUUUCCCACACCUUAUCAACUCGCUAUCCAAACACUUAUUUAAGAUCAGGGACCUGGAGUUCGAUAGCUUGCCAGCCCUGCUAGAGUUUUAUAAAACUCACUACCUGAACACCACCACCCUGAUGGAGCCUGCAGCUAAGUAUCUAAGCAUAUCAGAAUAUGUACAAACUCUCUGUUAUUUUCCUGGGAAUGAUGGUGAAGACCUGCCCUUUCAGAAGGAUGAGUUCCUAGUGAUAAUAGAAAAGCCUUUUGUUAGAGAGCUUAUAAAACCCCCAUCACAUAGAAUACAUGAAAAGUCCAAAUUAAAGGCAAAGGCUAGAGCUGGGAAGCCAACAGACAUGUCAAGAAUGGCGUAGGUACACCAGAGACCAGAGGAGUCGCCCAUAAGUUCUAUGAGAGAUUAUGCAAGGCAUAUUGGGUAUAUACCCCUUUUGACCCUGAAGCACGAGAAAACCAGUAUAUGGUUAACGCAGCAUUUGUGGCCCAAUCCUCCACCGACAUCCGCCGCAAACUUUGAUAAUUAGAGUGCUUUGCUGAGAUCAACACCCAGCUACCGAAGGUCACAAACAAAGUAUUUGAGAACAGCGACCAGAAAGCCAAAGGGAUAAAUGUGUUCUUGUUAAUAGCUGCAACAGGAAACUCAGGUCCAGAACAAUAGACUAUUGCUCCCCUCCGAAAAAGAGAGACCAGAAGGAGACCUCCACCUCGCCGUGACCAAUGUGCCUACUGUAAGGAGACUGGACAUUGGAAGAAUGAGUGCCCUCACCAUGAGAGACAAGAAAAAUUCAACCAAGCUUGUAAAGGAAAGUACCAGCCUUAGCCAGUCAUCCAAAAAGCUCAUCGACCAGGCCGAAGAACAGUCAGUCUAGGAAUGAUUGGGCUCCCUGUUCCUAGACCCUCAGCAAUUAACUUAUAGUUACAAUAGAAGUAGGGGGCCAAUCAUUGACUUUUACAGUAGAUAUUCCAUGGGAGCAGCUUCAUUCAUACAGGACAGCAGGAAGCCGGCUACGCAAUAACAGCUGCUGGUGAGGUAAUCAGAGUUAAGGUUCUGCUACAGAGCUGGUCACCACAAUGGACUGAACUAUGGGCCCUCAUCCAGGUAUUACAACAGGCUGAAGGGAGACGGGCCAACGUCAACAAAGCUCAAGGUAUGCCUUUGUUACCUUGCACAUACUUAGGGCCUUUCACCAAAUGGGGGAGUUAUAAAUGGCUAAGGGAAAAGAAGCUCCACAUGGCUAAAAGGCUGCAAAGUUUAGGGAAAGUUAAAUGCAUGUACCGGACCCACGGAACCACCAUAGCUAGUUUUAUCAGGAGACCUGAGACCCUGCCCUAAUUAAGGGUAGAAAAAGGAAAAGAGCUCCAUGAAACCCCAGUAGGCAGGAACUACAGCCAUUCUCAGCAGGCAGCAGAUACAGAAGAAGAGACCUCCAGUCCCUCAACAUCCAUAUGAGUAAUAACAAGGGGUUCAUGGCUUAUAGAAAAUAAUUAGGCAGGAAAAUUAGUGAAAAGGAGGUUUCUAGGUCUACCUGUAAAGAUACCAAGGUCAUUCUAUAUUUGAAGGGGCCCGCAAAAACCUCCAAUGGUAAGGAAGUUAGGAGAAAGAACGUCCUAGAUUAAUAGUAAACCUUGAAAAUGCCCCACCAUCUUCAGGUCUUAGGAAUAAUCCCCUGCCACAUCACUAGAGAAACUUUAGGAAGAGCCUCUACCCUCUUGAGGAAUUAGGUACACCCCUGUCAGCCAGAAGAAAAAGUAUAGAUUAAAGAUUGGAAAGAGAAGCUGUUCCGACCAAGCUAUACAAGUAAUCCUAUUCUGUAAAAGAUUGGAACCAAGAAGGAGUACUAUAAAUUUUAAUACAGUGUAUUACCCUAAAUUAAAGCAACCUUGGGUCAGGAUUGAAAAUACUGUGUGAAAUAUCUGCUAAAAUGUGUUUUAUAAUUUGGUUUAGCCAAAGUGUUCAUUGGUCCAACAUAGAAGAUGUUAUUAGAAUAUAAGAUUGUCGAAUUUUAUAAAGGGUUUAGCCUAAUAUGACAUUUUAUAAGGUAGUCGUCAUUGAAUUAUAUACUGCUGUAUCCAGUUCAAGUACAUUUGUCUGUAAAAUCAACUAAAAUACUACUAAUUCAAUUAGAUUCUCUCAGUCUUGCCUGGUUUGUCAGUGUGGUUAAGCAUAAGGAUCAGCCAUUUGAACUGUCCAGAUAUUCAUCCCAGUUGACUCCUGCAGAAAACACCCUUUGUAGACAGUGCAGACGGAUUUCAAUGGCUCUGUAAAGACAACAUGCCCUGCUCCAGCCACAAGCCGGAAGCUGGCUGGUCUACGCACGGCAGAAGCCUGAGGAAUUUCAUCGUAGGACUUCUUAUAAUUAGACACUGGGGAAGGAGAGAAAUUAGAGCAAAAACUGUAAGUUGUAUAUCCAUGUCACUAGAGGAGGGGGUCAGAAUUUUCUAUAGCUACUAUAAAUGUCAGAGACCUCAAAAAGGGACCUGUACCUAUAACUAGACUCAAUAGGUAAUCAGCCCCUAUGUAUGUUACAACUCAGAUGAACCUCCUUCACUAAAACAGUUCUGAAAUAAAGGAAGCCUUGAGGGAACACGGGAGGAUAGACAGGCAAGACCAUAUUACCCCAGAAUAGGGUAAAAUGUAAGGGCAAUUCUUGAUUCAUCUACUUGAUAAAAUAUGUAACUUCUAGAGUUUUAAUUAAAUCACAGUGCAGCUCAAUGAUGUCUUUUCCUUUUUCCAAAGAGCUGAGAUAGAAGUACAAUGUUCGAUCCCUGCCCAUUGGAAAAGGUGAUGAAGUUCAGGGCAGCAAAUUAGCAAGGUGGUCAGAGUUUAUAGGAAGAAAUAUGUCAUCUACAUUGAACGAGUGCAGCAGGAGAAGGCUAAUAACAUAACUGUUCAUGUGAGCAUUCACCCCAGCAAGGUAGUUAUUACUAGACUAAAGCUGGACAUAGACCACGAAAGGAUCCUUAGACACAAAGCCAAACCUUGCCAAGUAGGAAAGGAAAAGGGCAAAUAUAAGGAAGAAACAAUUAAGGAGAUACAGGAAUAAGGUAUUGAAUAGUCUGUAAAUAGAAAUAAAAAUUUACAGUCAAUCUUUUGAAGUGUUGGCCAAACUUCAGAUUGUAAGGCACAUUCAUAAAGUUUUGAGAGUGUAAGAGGGGGAUAUAGGAAAGGAAUGAGUAUAUUAAAAUAGAUUUCAAUAAUAUUAUUGAAAUCUACUAGCACCUCGUUUUGUAAACAGAUUUAGAUAACCCUAAGAUUUGAUGCUUGUGCUACUAUAAGCCAGAGCCAAGGACAGGAAGGGAGAUCAUGUGGAUCCCUCAUCUGGGAAUAAAGCUACAGGACAAAAGAGAAGUAUAUAUGUCCCCAUGCACUUCUUGGGGAACAAGUAGUGCCUAUUGGUGGUCAUGUAUUUUAUGGGCUACUUAGGAGAAGGGCAACACUAAUAAGAAAGGGGAGUAUCUAGGAAAAGGAGUAGCCUUAUCAAAUUGCACCAAACAUAUGUGCAACUCAGUAAAGAAUAACUGACCUCUAUAAUCCUCGUUGGAGUUUUGGGGAAGAGUUAACACUUGGUAUCGAUGGGACAGGACCAGAUCUCUAUAUUCGAAUUUGUAUUCUCAGGAGAGGUCUACUAUUAGAGGGUACAACUCAAGUUUACUAGGUUUAUAAGUCCUUUUUCAAAGAAAUAACCAGGCCCCAGCUCCCAGGGUUGCAACCAAACAAAAACUUGUUUCUUAGAAUAGUCAAAGGAAUAGCUCACUCCCUAAACAUCUCUUCCUGCUAUGUAUAUGGGAGAGCUCUAGUAAGGAGCAGGUAGCCUAGGGAAACUACAAAACUGGUUCCUACCUAGGUAAUGCCAGAAAUAACAGUCCCACAUAGUGGUGAUCUGUAGAUUUUAAGACAUAUUAUACAGAACAAUACUGCUGGGCUAGAGGUAGAAAGAACUCACAAGGUUAGUCGAAAACUUACAUGAAGCAUGCAUGUAAAAGGUAAAGGUAAAAGAGAAAAGUAAGAAAUGCAUUAGCUAGAUUUUCAGAGCUAAUUAGUGUCUGGCAGAACCUAGGCAGGGUCCAAGACUGAACAGCCCCACAUAGGUUUUACUAGAUUUGUAGGAGCAUAGCCUAUAUCUGCCUCCCCAGGAAUUAAAAAGGAAAAUUAUGUAAAUGGCAUGAUAAAAUCUUCCUUAUCCUCUUAACUCUGAAAACAGAGGAACAGCUUAAUCACCUGGUCCCACAACUCUUACAAUAGGCAACAAGAGAAAUUCAAAUAGGGGAAAUAUAAUAAAUUGAAGUAGUCUGAAAAAGCGUCAAAGGCCAAAUGUAAUCACAGGCUCAGAGAAGUAAAAGAUGGAAAGGUAACAAAUUAAGCCAGGAAGUUUGUGCUCUGGAAAUAGUGCCACAAGGCAAGAUAGAAAUUUAAGUGGUGAGGCAAGUUAAAUACCACCAGAUAGGAGAUAAUAAGUGGCCCCCAGAACGAAUAAUCCAAUACUGUGGGCCUGCCACUUAGGCAGAGGAUAGGUAUUAAAGAACCAUACCCCCAUUCGCAUCCAAUUGCAAGCAGUUUUAGGAUGAAAGCAGGAAAGCCUUGACCCUCCUUGCACAUCAACAGACUCAGAUGAGAAAUGUCACCUACCAGAACAGAUUGGCACUAGAGUAUUUGUUAGCAGCAGAGGGAGGCGUAUAUAAGAACGUCAGUCUCAUUAACUAUCAUAUAUAGGUAGAUGACUAGGGCCAGGCAGUUAGGGACCUUGCUGAACAGAUAAUAGAACUGACACAUAUGCCCAUACAAGUAUAGCACGAAUAAGACUCCGAUACCUUCUUUAAAGGUUCUUUACUUUCGGAGGCGAUGCACUAACUUAGAGAUAGUAAGGGUAUAUUUUACAGAGCUGCACUGGACAUGACAGGAUUUACCACUUGAUGGAUACAGCAAGUGGCACCUGAAUGGGAACCUAGGUAUAGGAAAGCAUGUAAAUAAGGUGGGGAAAACUCCCUCAGAAAGGUAUAUACAGAAGAUAAAAAGGGAGAAAAUACAGAUCACAGCCUAGAAGAAUUUGAGAAAAACAUGCCUGUUAAAUAAGUUUAAGGAACAGGCUGUCUUUAUCAGGAGUAAAAUAUAAGACAGCAAGAGUCAGAAGAUCCUUUAUAUACAAAUGUUUAAGGCCAUAGGAAAAAGAAAAACUGCAGUAAAGACCUUUAUGUAAUCAAUUAUAAGUCUCUAGUCCAGGGAAAUCAAGAAGGAAAUCAGAAAGGCGAUGCUCUAAAAGAAUUUAAAUGGGCAUCAAAAGAGGGGAAUGAUGAAGAAAUACGGGGAAUUUCAUUAAAAACUAGUUGGCUUUCUGCUUUUGUAAUUACGCUUGCUUAUUGCAUGCAAGAGCUCCCUUGCACUAUGCUGGACUUAUAAAUGUAACUGUGUACUCCCGCAGCUCUCCCUCCCUGUAACAAUCUGUGUUUAUUGGUUGCCCAUAGCAACUCUGGCCCUUCUGUCUGUUAUUACUUGAAAUCUGCAUGGCAAAUCCUGCUGUAUGUAACAGUUUAUGUUCAAGCUGACCAAUCAGCUUGUGUAAAGCUUUUCCUAUAUAAAGAGAUGUUUCCACUGAGAACCUGCCUAGAUCUUCAGAGCACUAGCUGUCUGGGACCGCAUGUAAUAAAUUUUGAAUUCUCCUUCUCUCUGA